GGAUUAGCAACAAGAAUUCUCAGAAUCGGCAGAAUGUAAAGAUACACCAUUUGACAGGAUCAAAGUCUUUUUCUCAGUGUAGCUAUGAACAGAGGGACCCAUUAACUGGUGAUGAGCCAAAUGAUUUGGAGCUUUUUAUGUUGACGCACAGUAAGAAUGGGCAAUGGACAAGCCAAGAAUCUAGGAAUGUCUAUGAUAAUGCAAGCAGCAAAAUUUCAGAGAGGGAAUCAAAUGGAGAUGCAAACAUCAUCUCAGAUGUGGAGCAAAACCAGAUUUUCC